rnacentral:piRNA from 1 species
CUGUAUAACAUGGGAGUGCCAGACAGAC